GGCCAAAGAGCUCUGAUGGAUCUCCCGGGACUGACACCAUAAGGAGUGUGCACUUCCUUGGUCAUCCACUUGUUUUCUUCCCCAUAUUUUGCUUUGAUCUUCCCCAGUAUGGUUGAGGUGUAUGUGAAUACCUCCAUAACCAUUUAAGUCUUAAAGCUUUGCUCUGCAGCUUUAAAUUCCUGAUACCUAGUCCUCCCUGCUUCUUCCUCAAUAGAACAUUAUCCCACGUGACUAAAUGGAUUUUUUUUUUUUUUUAAUCUUAAUCACCCUUCUAGAGAAAGACCCUCCUGAUCUUGUCUAGUCUUUCAAUCACUCCAACAGGAAUGGGAAAAACAGACAUCAUAUAGAUAGGGAGUGCAUCCAGAACUGAAUUUAUAAGUGUGACUCUGCCCUCUAGAGAUAUAUAUUGUGACUUCCACCUGGAUAGCUUCUUCUCACAUUUUUCAAUCACAGAGUUCCAGAUAUUCAAGGACUUUGAUUUGGCUCCUAAAGGCAUACCCAAAAAUUCCUUCAAACAAUACCAGAAUUGCUCUCAAAAUCUUCAGUUGCUCUUCCUCAGCAUCACAAAAGAUUAGGAUGUUUUUCCGAAGUCCGUUUA